rnacentral:rRNA from 1 species
GGAGUUAGCCGGUGCUUCUUCUGUGAGUGAUGUCCUUCCUGCCGGCUAUUAACCCGCAGGCCUUCUUCCUCACUGAAAGUGCUUUACAACCCGAAGGCCUUCUUCACACACGCGGCAUGGCUGGAUCAGGGUUGCCCCCAUUGUCCAAUAUUCCCCACUGCUGCCUCCCGUAGGAGUCUGGGCCGUGUCUCAGUCCCAGUGUGGCUAAUCAUCCUCUCAGACCAGCUACGGAUCGUCGCCUUGGUGAGCCGUUACCUCACCAACCAGCUAAUCCGACAUAGGCUCAUCCGAUAGCGCGAGGCCCGAAGGUCCCCCGCUUUCCCCCGUAGGGCGUAUGCGGUAUUAGCCUGGGUUUCCCCAGGUUAUCCCCCACUACCGGGCAGAUUCCUAUGCAUUACUCACCCGUCCGCCGCUCGCCACCAGGGAGCAAGCUCCCCGUGCUGCCGCUCGACUUGCAUGUGUUAGGCCUGCCGCCAGCGUUCAAUCUGAGCCAUGAUCAAACUCUGA